UGGGAUGGGGCUCAGCUGGUAGAGUGCUUGCCUAGCAUGCAUAAGGCCCUGGGUUUGAUUCCCCAGUAUCUCAC
rnacentral:tRNA from 1 species